rnacentral:lncRNA from 1 species
AGGUUCAGAGAAGUGGCAGGAUCCUUAGAAGCAUCCCUCACAGAUGGGCUAGAAGACGCCCCAGGUAAGUUCAACAGGAAACAGCAGGCGUCCUGAAGGGACUUGUUGAGCUUACCAGCCAGCUCAGCCCUGGUCCUGAGCAUGCUCCUGCCUUUUUUCACCAGGCAGGGAUUUGGGCUGUAAGGACACUGGCAUACAAUCUUAAGAACAACAACAAAAACAAAACAAAACAAAACAAAAAAGGCCCCC